UAUUAAAUAGCCGCGGUAUUUUGACCGUGCAAAGGUAGCAUAAUCAUUAGUUUUUUAAUUGAAAACUUGUAUGAAUGGUUGGACAAAGAAGAAGCUGUCUCUUGUGUUAAGAUUGAAUUUAACUUUUAAGUGAAAAGGCUUAAAUAUUCUAGAGGGACGAUAAGACCCUAUAAAGCUUUAUAAAUUUAAAGAUUUUGUAUAUUUUUAUAUAAAAAUAAAUUCUAAAAGUUUAUUUGGUUGGGGCGACAAUGGUAUAAUUUAAAUAACUGCUAUUAAAUUUAACAAAUAUAUUUGUUUUAUAAAAAUAAUUGAUCCUUUAUAAGGAUUUUAAGAUCAAGUUACUUUAGGGAUAACAGCGUUAUUUUUCCUGAGAGUUCUUAUCAAAGGAAAAGUUUGCGACCUCGAUGUUGAAUUAAAAUGUCUUUUUAGUGCAGCAGCUAUAAAAGAAGGUCUGUUCGACCUUUAAUAUUUUACAUGAUUUGAGUUCAGACCGGCGAGAGCCAGGUCGGUUUCUAUCUUCUAGAUAAUAAAUUGAGUAUUCUAGUACGAAAGGAUUGAGUAGUCAAAAUUUUUUUAAAAAUGAAAU
rnacentral:rRNA from 1 species